rnacentral:rRNA from 1 species
UACGUAGGGUGCGAGCGUUGUCCGGAAUUAUUGGGCGUAAAGAGCUCGUAGGCGGCUUGUCGCGUCGACCGUGAAAACCCGGGGCUCAACUCUGGGCUUGCAGUCGAUACGGGCAGGCUUGAGUGCGGUAGGGGAGACUGGAAUUCCUGGUGUAGCGGUGGAAUGCGCAGAUAUCAGGAGGAACACCGAUGGCGAAGGCAGCUCGCUGGGACGGAACUGACGCUGAGGCGCGAAAGCGUGGGGAGCGAACAGG